CUGGACAUUCCUCAUGAGAAACCUGAGGAGGAUCCUAAAGAGACAGCCACAGUUUUCCUACGACCUGCUGCCAAGUUUCUUGAGGGCCCAGCUGUUGGGGAAGAAGAAAGGACACACAGAGACACAGACACACACAGAGAAGAUGGCCAUGUGACAGCAGAGGGAGAGAUUGGAGUGAUGCAGCUAUGAGCCAAGGAACACCAAGGAUUGCUGGCAUGUACCCGAAGCUAGGAGAGAGGCAAGGAAGGAUCCUUUCCUAGAGCCUACAGAGGGAGCGUGGCCCUGCUGACAUCUUGAUUUUGGACUUCUGGCCUCCCGAACUGUGAGGGAAUAAAUUUCUGUUGUUUAAACCA